AUUAAUUUGGCAGACAAGUGCGUAGGAUUUAGGAUCUUAAUAUAAAUUUGUAAAAUUUAAUUAAUA
rnacentral:tRNA from 1 species